rnacentral:rRNA from 1 species
CGGACGGGUGAGUAAUGUCUGGGAAACUGCCCGAUGGAGGGGGAUAACUACUGGAAACGGUAGCUAAUACCGCAUAACGUCGCAAGACCAAAGAGGGGGACCUUAGGGCCUCUUGCCAUCGGAUGUGCCCAGAUGGGAUCAGCUAGUAGGUGGGGUAACGGCUCACCUAGGCGACGAUCCCUAGCUGGUCUGAGAGGAUGACCAGCCACACUGGAACUGAGACACGGUCCAG